rnacentral:lncRNA from 1 species
AGUAGAGCACCAGAGUUCAGCAAAAGAAUGAACAUGUUCUAAUGUCAAGUCACUCACUUUGGGAGAAGCCAACCACCAUGCCAGUAGAUACUCGAGAUGCCCAACAAAAGUGACCACAUGGUGAGAAACUAAGGCCCCUUAUCCAUAACCAGCACUAAUUCGCCAUGUAAGUCACCUUGGAAUUGGAUCCUCCAGCCUUGGUCUAGUCCUCAGAUGACUGCAACCACACACAGCUACCAUGUUGACUGCAAUCUCAAAAAAAGACCCUGAGCCAGAAUCACCAUCUAAG